AUAUUUUUAUCAGUUCCGUCAAUAAAUUUUUUUUAAUGUUUUUUUAUAAGUGUUGAAAUGGCAACAUAUUUCUUUCCGUGUAGUCAAAAACCACUACAACUAUAACUCAUCGCAAAUUUUAUAUCUAUGAUAUGUAUGCGACCAUCUGAUUGUCUGUGUUGAAAUAUUUCGGCAUGUUAUAUUGAGUUAAAGCUCAAUUAAGGAUACAUAUUGCCUAAGCAAAGGCGCAUCUUCCAAUUUGAGCUAAUUGCGUCGUAGUAAAUUUCCACUGGCCUUUUACCAUCUACAAAGUUAGAUAGCCAUACUAUCGGGAAAUGGAAAAUAACCAGUAAAAAUUCUCGCUCUCCAGAUCUGACCAAUGGGAAAAGAGGAUUUAAUCCCACUGCAGACCAUUGGGUAGUAAUUGCGUCUUAAUUUUUAAGUUCGUACCACUUCGAAUCGCGAUCGCUCGUUCAUAUUGGUGGAGUACGUGAUAGUGAUUACACCUGAAUUUUCGAGGUGAAUUUUUCAUAAAGGAAAGUGAAGUAAAGUUUGCAAAAUCAGUUUAGCUUAAAGUUUUUGGAGCAUUGGCCAACUAAAUUCGAAAAUUUAAAAAGUUCGUUAGGAUUUUGAAAUAUUUAGAAAAAAAAACUGAACGGAACUCAACAGGAAGUAAUAGUCAGGCGUGGUAGGCCCAACAACGUGGGCGGCAAGUCUAGGCUACACGAGGCUUAACUGAGCUUAGGCCCCCACUCCGACAAAUCUGGGUGGUAGUUUUCCCACUCUGUGCCUACACUGACGGAAGCUUUGAGUGCCAACACGGUCCAAUUGGAAUUCUACGCGGAUGAAUCAAACCGUAUUCGUGUGGUUGCUGUCGGGACUAACCACGUGACAACUCGUUCAGCCAAGUUGUGAAGCAGAGAGCGACGUCCAGUAAAGCUCUUACUCCACCGAAGCCCGGGGACGCAUAUACCCCGAAGAUCAAGCUCACACACGAGUUGGUGAAUUUGAAUUCCGACCGUCUCAAACGCCUGAAGCCGACGCCGACGCUGUCAAGACGACGUCGACCAUCCGCCGUUGGAGCAUCGCCUAGGACAAACAAGGUUAGAUGUAUCGUUAGGGCGUGCGAAUAAAUUGUAGGUUAUCUAAAUCAAUUGCGCUAUGAGUAGACGUGACGUCACGAAGCAGUUAGGGUUUGCCUGACCAAUAAAUUGGAAUUGAAUCCGAAUAAAUUUUUGAAUUGAGGCCCUUGUGCAACUUUUUAAAUUCUAUUUUUCAUUGUUUUUUUCUUUAACUCGAAUAUAUUUAUUGAAUUGAAAGUUAAUUACUUCGAGUUUAGCGACGACUUCACCAGCCUCGGUCGUCUAUUGCUGAAGAUUGUCGGAGUUGUUGAACUUUCUAUUGAGAAUUCUUUUACUACCAUUUAGUUUUGGAUAGCGUUUUAGUGUAUUUAGAUCAUUGUUUCUUUCCAUAGUUCGGUAAGUUGGCAAUUCGGUUGGGUCAAAGUGGAAAUUCGGUUCUGUAUUAAAACUGUUGGCCUGCCCUGAAGAGGCGGUCUCAUGCCGGGAUAUUUUACAGAGUGGACGGUCCUUUAUUGAAAGGUGGCGCUUAAGCCGUCGGCUUAAUUGAACGGAACGG